CACUAACAGCAAAGGCUGAAACAUACUAAAAUAGCAGUAUACAGAAUGAGUACAGCAAUUUAAAAAUCGAUGCAGGAAUAAGCGCUGAUAGUCUUCCAGAUAUUUUUAAGAAAGGAAACAA
rnacentral:lncRNA from 1 species